UUAAUUGAAACCAAAAUAGAGGUAUAUUACUGUUAAUAAUAUUAAUGAAUUAAUUAUAAUUCCAAUUAAA
rnacentral:tRNA from 1 species